rnacentral:rRNA from 1 species
GUGCCAGCAGCCGCGGUAAUUCCAGCUCCAAUAGCGUAUAUUAAAGUUGUUGUGGUUAAAAAGCCCGUAGUUGAACCUUGGGCCUGGCUGGCCGGUCCGCCUCACCGCGUGCACUGGUCCGGCCGGGCCUUUCCCUCUGUGGAACCCCAUACCCUUCACUGGGCGUGGCGGGGAAACAGGACAUUUACUUUGAAAAAAUUAGAGUGCUCCAGGCAGGCCUAUGCUCGAAUACAUUAGCAUGGAAUAAUAAAAUAGGACGCGCGGUUCUAUUUUGUUGGUUUAUAGGACCGCCGUAAUGAUUAAUAGGGACAGUCGGGGGCAUCAGUAUUCAACUGUCAGAGGUGAAAUUCUUGGAUCAGUUGAAGACUAACUACUGCGAAAGCAUUUUGCCAAGGAUGUUUUUCAUUAAUCAGGAACGAAAGUUAGGGGAUCGAAGACGAUCAGAUACCGUCGUAGUCUUUAACCAUAAACUAUGCCCGACUAGGGGAUCGGACGGUGUUAUUCAUGACCCCGUUCGGGCACCUUUACGAGAAAAUCAAAAGUGCUUGGGCUCCCAGGGGGGAGUAAUGGUCGCAAGGGCUGAAACCUUAAAAGAAAUUGACGGAAGGGCACCACCCAGGGGGGGGAGCCUGGCGGGCUUUAAUUUUGACUUCAACACGGGGGAAACCUCACCCAGGCCCAGACACAAUUAAGGGAUUUGACAGAAUUGAGAAGCCCCUUUCUUUGAUUUUUGUGGGGGGGGGGUGCAUGGGCCGUUCCUAAGUUGGGGGGGGUGAACUUGGUCUGCCUAAUUUGUCCAUAUACAAAUGAAGAACUUAAACUGCGCUAAAAAAGCCCGGAUUUGCUCCCCGGGCGAGUGCCGCUCGGCGCU